AGGAGAAUAACUCAGUGGUAGAGUGGUUGAAUUCAAUAAAUACGCACUGCAAGUCGCAGGUUCGAUUCCUGCUUCUCCUA
rnacentral:tRNA from 1 species